rnacentral:misc_RNA from 1 species
GAUGAAGAACGUAGUGAAAUGCGAUAAGUAGUGUGAAUUGCAGAAUUCAGUGAAUCAUCGAAUCUUUGAACGCACAUUGCGCCCCUUGGUAUUCCGAGGGGCAUGCCUGUUCGAGCGUCAUUAUAACCCCUCAAGCUCAGCUUGGUGUUGGGGCCUGCUGCACUGGCAGCCCUUAAAAUCAAUGGCGGCGCCAUCUGGCUCUAAGCGUAGUAAUUCUUCUCGCUAUGGAGUCCUGGCGGAUGCUUGCCAUCAACCCCCAAUUUUUCUAUGGUUGACCUCGGAUCAGGUAGGGAUACCCGCUGAACUUAAGCAUAUCAAUAAGCGGAGGA